UUACCGGCAGUCUUUCCCUUGCAUCCGUACUGCCCUUCCCAUCUUCAUUGCAGGCAUCGCAACGGCCGCUGUCAGUAGGAGCGGGUGAGAUGGGAAACUAAGGCUGAAAUAAGCUGCUUUUGGAUACUGAGACAUUGUCAGAGCUGAAUUUAAAGAGUGACUAUGGAAAGCAAAGAAUGCCAUGUUGAGGGUGCCA